rnacentral:tRNA from 6 species
GGAGGGGUGGCCGAGUGGCUGAAGGCGACGGUUUGCUAAACCGUUAUAGGGGUAAAACCCUAUCGAGGGUUCGAAUCCCUUCCCCUCCUCCA